rnacentral:tRNA from 1 species
AUCCUUUACGUAUGACUUAGCACCACUGACUUCCAAUCAGUUAGCUUCGGUAGUAUCCGAAAAAGAAUA